UUUUUCUUCUAUCAGACGCAGAGUCUCUGAUUUGAUAUCAAGCUCUUUGAUCCAUUUUGACUUAACUUUUGUGCAUGGUGAGAGAAAGGGAUUCAGUUUCAUUUUGUUGCAUAUGGAUUUCCAGUUUUCCCAGCACCAUUUGUUGAAGAUGCUAUCCUUCCUCCAUUGCAUGCUUUUAUCCCCUUUAUCAAAUAUAAGAAAGUUGUAAUUUUGUGGAUUGGUCUCUGUGUCCUCUAUUCUGUACCAUUGGUCCACUCGCCUGUUUUGGUACCAGUACCAUGCUGGAAGUGUGAAUCAGGCGGUAUAGCAAUACCAGAUUUCAAAUUAUACUACAGAGCAAUAGUAAUAUAGUCUGUGUUUGUCUUCUUUUCACUUAGCAUAUCGUGUUUGUGUUUGUGUGUGUGUGUGUGUGUGUGUACGCGCAUGCACAUGCACAUGCAUGCACAUACACACAUACAUGCACAUACACACAUACAUGCACAGUUGAAUCCAGGGUCUUGCACAAUGCUAGGCAAGCACUCUACCACUGAGCCUCAUCCAACCCUACCAUGAGUUUUCAAGUUUAUAUAUGUCUCAGAAUUUCAUUCCUUUUUAUUGCUGAACAUUAUUUCACUGUAAGGAAUUACCUGAUGGGGUUUAAAAGGUAUGGAACCAUUUAGGUUUGUAUGACUUCUAGUGUAUCUGUAGAUUCAUGGGAGCAUUUCAGAGGAUAUGAUGCCAAUGAUUCAUUAUAUGUAAUUAUAUAUUACUAUGUAAGUUAUUAGAUGUCUGUUUCCCACACCAAAUCUGAUCAUUGACUUUCUUUCUGUGUUAUUCCUCCCUCUGUGGUGAGCCAGUACAACUAUCAGUCCACUGUCACAACAAGUGUAACUCCAACACAUGACUUCUUCUGCUUAAUGUAACCAAAUUUCUGGGUCUGAGACACUCUGAUUGUCUAAUAUUGAUUCUUUCACCAAUCUCACUGAAGACUCAUAUUCCUGCUGUCUGAAUCCCAAGUCACAGAGCAACAAGGAAUGCAGCCUUCCUCUAAUCCACCAUCUUGACCAUCCCAUAGAUGACUCUUUGCUGAGUCACCCCCAUGUCUCUCAGGGGAACACCAACAACUCCCUCCUUACUCCCCACCAGAGGAACUAGCUCGCCAGCCCCUUCCUCCUCAAACAUCCUGAGUCCUCAGCGUACAAGUAGUGGGACCUUCACAACUGCCUCAGUUUUGUGAUGGUCUUUUGCCCUGUAAUAUUUGGGGUUCUCCACCUGCUUCUCAUUGGUUACCCCAAUUCUUUUCUGGCUACUUUCUCUGUUUAUCCUUUUCUGAACCUCUAUAUUCCACCCCAGAUUCUUGGUGACUCGAGGAAAAAUCUUCUUUUUAAAAAAAAAAAUUAUAUGGUUAUUUUUAUGUGGUGCUGAAUAUCAAAUCCAGUGCCUCAUACAUGUGAGACAACUGCCCUACCACUGAGCCACAACCACAGCCAAAGAGGAAAAAUCUUGAGAUAUUUGAUGGGUUUUUGGCUAGAGAACACUCUGGUAAAAAUCUAAAGAUCUCUUGAUUGAAGCUCAGAUGCUGCAGCCCUUAGGCAUAGGAGUUGAGGCCUUCACCUCAGCCUUUUGGGGGAGACAAAGCUUUUCACUGGCAAUUGAGAGAUUCUUGGCAAGGGUGAAACUUAAGCCCAGGAAUUAUGAGAUUUUGGACCCCGGUGCCUAUUAGGAUAAGGAUUUCUUUCAAUUCCUUUUACCUUCUUAUCUGUAUCUCCAGAACACAGAACAUCAUGGGACUCUCAAGGGUCACAGGGGUGCCCUCCAUCUCUGGGUCAAGAUGCCUUAUUUAAUGCCUGUUUGUCUCUCGUGUUUAAACAACAUCUUUCCUUACUCCUUAUCUGCCUUCCUGAUACUCUGUCCUCCAAGGCUUGCAUCUGGAGGUCAGCUACAUAAGAAAAACUGGUUUGAGACCAAAGAGAAAAAGUGUCACUUCUAAAUUUAAGCUUCAGUGUUUUCUCUUUACUUGUACUCUGGGAUUCUGCUCUCUCAUUAAGUUCUUCCCUAAAUGAUGAUUGCACAGGGAAGGAAAAUGGAAAAAUCCCACCUGUGCAAGUUUUCUUUUUCUUGAGAACCUUUUCCUGAGGUCCACCCUCUGCUGGGACUUCAUGGGCUUCUACAGUCUUUAAAUAUUUGUAUGACUCUAAUUCAAAUUGCACUCUUGUCUGAUAGAUGUUCCAUGUGUCUCUUUACUAGGGUAAUUGCAGGUGUGUAAUUUUUAAAUUAUUUUUUUAAGCUCAUUUUUUUUGGUAAAUUCAUCUUUGUUCCAUGUACCUAAAUUAAUAUAUUUUUUGUUCUAAUUAGUCUUGUUUUAAUCUAACUGAAGUUUUUUAGUCAUAUGUGUUAUACUGCUGUCUUUGUUUGGAGGGUAAUUAUUCAAAGGUGAAUUCUCAAAUACACCAGAAAAUGAAAGACCCCUGUAGGACCCCUUCACAUGGUUCUAAAACAGAGAAUAAACAGUGGUGAUAUUGACAUAGAUCUGCAUCAUGUCUAGGCAAGUGGCCAUCUGAACCAUUGAUUCAGUGUCCAGGUGUGAUCCAUGGACCCUGUCCCAGCCACCCCCAACUGUGCAGGACUCCUCCAGGUCUAUGCCCUUUAUUCUACAAUAUAUUGAUCACUGUCACACUGAAGACAUUUGUGACAGGCUUUGUUUUAAUUUCUGAAGGGUAAAAUGUGAUAGAAAAUGUGUAAUAAACACCUGUAGUUCUUUUGUCUCUUACCUGUGGGGAGCAUGUACUUGGCAAAAAGCUAUGCAAUCUCUAUUUCCUGUUUGAUUUCAUGUAGGUUU
rnacentral:lncRNA from 1 species